AAGCUGUACCUUCAUUCUUCUGAGGCUGACCUGCAGGGCUGCUGCUGGAGAAAUACAGGGAACAAAGGAAAGCCUGACUGGUAACCAGAAGAUGGCACAUCAUAAUAAUAUGGAGAGAUAUGUAUCAUCUUGGCUGCUACCUGUGGCAGCAGCUUGUAAUGGAAUUAGUCAUGGCUAGAACUUCAUCAUGAUGAGGUUUGUGGCUAACACACUCUGAAACCAGCUGCAAAGUCUCAGAGGCUGAUAUCUUCUCACCAGGACAGAAGGUCACAGCAGUGCUAUUCGUUUGUACUCGGGUGUAUGGUUGUUCACUGACACUUGCGUCUUCCCUUCAAAACCAGUUUUUCCACUGUUGUUUCUUAAAGAAGAGUAGGCAGUGAAGGAGGCAUCUGACACCUCUGGCAAAACUUGCUAGACAAUUUUAACUGAAUUAACAUGUGGGUGUCAUAACUUUUAGUUUAAGCCAUCCUGUGCAGUUAUCUCUAUGUCACAAACUUCUGCUCAAAGGUAGUUCUGCACAGUAACGAUGAUAAGUGCUUAUCUCUUUGUUUUUCUAAGUAUUGUGUGGUACCAUCUGAGAAAAAUCAAAAGCUCUCACCUGUAUGCUUUUGUUGGACUUCCUGUGGGACAGUGAAUUACUUCAGGAAGGUUGGGUACAUGUGUAUCUUCUGAGGCUUCCAUGUGUGCCCUUCCUGAAAUGUACAUGGGCGGAUGACUCGGUACAGUCAAUAUGCGGUACAGAAACCUGACAGACACCCCUGCCUAUGUGUUGGCCUCUCGUCUGCCACCCAGUUCUCCCCUAACAGGAGCUAGAAGUAACAAGUACCUAUUUAAACAUGUUUAGAAAUGUGUGAAAGAAUACAUGCUCUUCUGCUGUUGCAGUAGCAACUGAGCUCUUCAGAAACCUCUGCUCCUAAGUCUUACCGUGGUUGUGAAUUUCAUGUAGUAAAAAUGAGCUCAAUAACAUUCACGUGGUUUUAUGAUGGUUGUUGAUACCAUAGGCUUCUCAAGAAAUUCUAUGCUAUUACUACCUAGAGUACUACAUUAAAGGGAAAAAAGGCUUCCUUCAAUAUAUUUACUUUUCUUCCCCCAGGAAAAGAAAAGCAUAAUUUUGAUUGACAAUUUUAUUGGAAAGUGUGUUUCCAGAACCAUUAUAACUGGUUCAAGUGUCUUGAAGUGCAUUAGGGCUCUCAUAUUCUUGUUUUUGGUUUUUUUUGUUGUUGUUGUUGUCUCAUUUUGAGGUUUUUCUCACUGUAUGGAUUUUAUUACUCUGCCUCCUUUUCAAUUCCUGAGUUUUUGUGUUAUCUUUGUAGUUUUUGUCUGAAACAGUGAGAAUUGGAAACAUUAAAAAAAAAGAAC
ensembl:lncRNA